CUUUUUGUAUAUCAAAGUUAACUGAAAAUCUAUGUUCGCAGUUUAGCUUACAACGUUUUGGGGCAAAAUCUUGCUAAAAGAGAGCGAUUAGUCU
rnacentral:sRNA from 1 species